AGGCCGAGCAUGUGAUGUUACAAGGAGAUGCUACUGAGAUGUUAUAUCGUUGAAGUCUCUAAAACCGAGCUUUUUAAAACUGAUGCUUGGCCU
rnacentral:snoRNA from 1 species